UGAGGAAUAUUGGACAAUGGGCGCAAGCCUGAUCCAGCCAUGCCGCGUGCAGGAUGACGGUCCUAUGGAUUGUAAACUGCUUUUUGUACAGGAAGAAACAGUUCUACGUGUAGAACCUUGACGGUACUGUAAGAAUAAGGAUCGGCUAACUCCGUGCCAGCAGCCGCGGUAAUACGGAGGAUCCAAGCGUUAUCCGGAAUCAUUGGGUUUAAUGGGUCCGUAGGCGGUUAGAUAAGUCAGUGGUGAAAGCCCAUCGCUCAACGGUGGAACGGCCAUUGAUACUGUCUGACUUGAAUUAUUAGGAAGUAACUAGAAUAUGUAGUGUAGCGGUGAAAUGCUUAGAGAUUACAUGGAAUACCAAUUGCGAAGGCAGGUUACUACUAAUGGAUUGACGCUGAUGGACGAAAGCGUGGGUAGCGAACAGGAUUAGAUACCCGCGUAGUCCCUGAGCGGGCUGGCAAGGCGCAU
rnacentral:rRNA from 1 species